rnacentral:rRNA from 1 species
AUGGUGGACGUGGACAUUAGAGCUGUUUGCAAUAAGGGAUCUCCAGGCUCGGCAUCAUCGAGGACAAGAAUCUCUGAACCAAAGGAAGAUGACUAUGUAAUACUGAUUCCCCAUUCCCACAUCUUUGCCCUCAUGCUUCAAGCUCUCAAGUUGCCCCCUGCAACUUACCAUCACAAGACAUGUCCGGAAGACAGCGCUGCUAUCGCAGCCAUUAGGUUUAUGGAGGAUGCAUGUGGCAAGGAAAUUAGGGAUUAUCACUACUCCCACGUUAAAAGCUGGAAAAUCAAGUCACACACUUGGUAA